ACAGCCGCACGCACUCCGAGUAGGUCUCUCCCUUGGUCAAUGGCUGUGGGUGUCUCUGGCGGCGACGAGCGCCUGCCCGCCUUGCCCCGAUGGCCGAUAAGCUGCCUCGCCUCACUGGGCAUGCCCGCUCCGUUUCUAUAUAAAACCCGCUGGAGUUAAUCCCUGGACAUUCCCCGGCUCCUUCCACCCCGCCUUGCUGGCGGAUUGUACCGGAUCGCGCGGCUCGGCCUUGGCACCCUUCAGCUCCAUUCAAGGGCUGCUGCUGCUGCGUUGCAACGAGCAUCUUCAUCCUGAAUGAUGCUGUCUCUGGACCAGAUCCACACAGAGCCUUCUCCAACUCCCAAGGAACUGGACUGGGCAGAACAGGGGUUUCUACCUCCCCUGAGCCCUCUGCGCUGUGCCUGGCGCCGAGAUGUGCCCCUGGAUUGCAAGAUCUGCCCCGAAGAUGCGCAGGCACGGGCCUGGACUGCCUACUACUAUGACCUGUUGCAGUGCACCUUGCAGCAGGAGGGGCUACCGGAGACCGUUGACCUCACCAAGGAGCCCCGAACAGGAUUUGGACCAUCAGACAUCACCAUCUGUGUCUUGGGCUCCCCCACUUCAUACCUGUCUGUGCUUUUGGAAGGUGGCAACCAAUGUCCUGGUAAUAUGCUGCUAUGCUUAUCGCCCGCCUGGCUCUCCAAGGCACCCUCAGAGUCUCAUCCAGGAGAAUCUUCUCUGCUGAUCUUCAAGGCCGUGACAUUUGAUCUUGGUGGCCGCACAACACUGGAAGAAUUUGCCCCCCCACGUCGUGUCACUUACUUCACUGGCUGCUUUGGGCCAUGCAAGGUACAGGGCCAGUCAGCUGCAGAACUGGCCCGGGACCUUGACUGUCCCACAGGAGGCUCAGGAGAGCUGGCUCGCCUGCUGGAGGAUAAACUGCUGACCCGUCAACUCAUGGACCAGCAGGCACGGGUAGCAGUGCCCCCCACCCUGGCUUUCACUUUCAAGCGUCCACUACCCCUGCGGAGUGUGACAGAGGAGCAGCGUGUCCGCAUGGUUGAGCUCAGCGGCCGUGAGGGACAGGACAAUCUGCUACAGGAGGAAAUCACAGCCUUCUUGCAAGGGGGUGCCAUGGAGCCCUACAGCCAGGUGGUGGUGAAGCCAUCAGGCUGGCGCUGGAGUGGAGCUCAAGCAGUGUCGUUCCAUGAUAAGCGGGAACAGGGAUGUGUCUUGCAAGCUGUUCUUGCAUUUUUGGAGACCUUAGAGGAGGAGGAGAGCAUCUUGCUAGAGGCCUUCAUUCCUACUGCUCACGUGGUCCAGCCCGGUCCUUCUGACAUGAACACCUCUCCAUGCAACACAUCUCCACGAUCCAAUCUGGCAGUUCGAAUCUGUGCUGUAGUCUGCAGAUCCCGGAAAGAUCAGCCUCUACUGAGCAAGGUAGUGUGUGGUGUGGGCCGGGCAGAUAAACCACUGAAGCACCAGGCCACAGUGCCACAGACGCUGGAGAGCAGCUUACAGCAGUGGGGACUGAAGGAUGAAGCCCAGAUUGCAGCUAUCCAUGCCCAGAUAAAACAGAAGGCUGAGGCAGCCAUGAAGGCCUUCAUGGAUAUGGAGGCUGGUCUAUCAGCUGAGCAAAGAGGUGGUCGCCGAGCACAAACUGACAUUAUUGGAGUAGAUUUCCUACUGAGCUCUGAAGAGCAGGUUCUACAGCUGGUGGCCCUGGAGAUGAACUCACAACUAUGCCUGGAAACCUGCUCAGUCUUUGAGUCCAUGGGCCGGGUGGUGGGAGCGCCAGCGGGUGAGGCGGCACGGCCCCUAGUGGAGACGAUGCUGCGUCGUGCGCAGUGCCAUCUGAUGGAGGGCAAGCACGUGUUGGUGAUUGGGGCCGGCGGAGUCAGCAAAAAAUUCGUCUGGGAGGCAGCCAGGGACUACGGGCUAAAAAUCCACCUGGUGGAGUCCGACCCCAACCACUUUGCCUCCCAGCUGGUGCAGACCUUCAUCCACUAUGACACCACGGACCACAAGAGAGAUGAGGAGCAUGCCCAACGGCUGGUGGGGCUCGUGCGGGAGCGGGGCCUACACCUGGAUGGCUGCCUGUCCUACUGGGAUGACUGCAUGGUCCUGACGGCACUUGUGUGCGAAGGGCUGGGCCUGCGCUGCAGCUCCCCCACUGCCAUGCGGGUGGCCAAGCAGAAGAGCCGCACUCAUCUGCACCUGCUGCGGCGGCGCAAGGAGGGGGCUCGCUGGCCCUCAGCUGCGCUGUAUGCUGUACCUUGCUGCCACCUGGAGAGCCAUGCUGAUGUGGAGCGAGCUGCCAGCCACCUCAGCUUCCCUGGUGUCAUGAAGCUAGAGUAUGGGGCAGGGGCUGUGGGGGUAAAGCUGGUGGAGGAUGCACAGCAAUGUCACCUGCACUUCGACAAGAUCUCCAGGGACCUGCGCGAUGACUCUGACCAUCCAGGCAUCGGGUUGGGCUGGGGCAACACCAUGCUAUUGAUGGAGUAUGUGUCUGGCACUGAACAUGAUGUGGAUCUGGUGGUAUAUGAAGGGCGCAUGCUGGGGGCAUUUGUGUCUGAUAACGGGCCCACUCGGGUGCCCAACUUCACUGAGACGGCAGCCUGCAUGCCAACCUGUCUGUCCCCUGACCGUGAAGCACAGCUCAUCCGUGCUGCCUACCAGUGCUGCUUAGGGUGCGGCCUGACUGAUGGUGUCUUCAAUGUGGAGCUCAAGUUGACAGCAGCUGGCCCCAAGCUCAUUGAGAUCAACCCCCGCAUGGGUGGCUUCUAUCUGCGCGACUGGAUUCAGGAGAUCUAUGGAGCAGAUAUCAUGCUGGCUUCGGUCAUGGUGGCCUGUGGGGUGGCCCCUCUGUUGCCUGCCCGAUCUCAUCCCCGCACACACCUGGUGGGAGUGAUGUGCUUGGUGUCGCAACACCUGCAAGCCCUCAAGUCCACAGCCAGCCUGGAGACGCUCCAGGCCCUACAUGAGCGCGGUGUAGUCCGCCUCAACCUGCUUGACGACGAGCUAGUGUCCACUGAGUAUGAGGAGCCCUACUGCAAUGUGGCUUGUGCCAGCUCUAGCCGCCGUGAGGCCUGCCUCAAGCUGCUAGGCAUCUGCCAGGUGCUCGGCAUUGAUUCACCACACUACCCUGUCACUCACUUCCUCUCUCAUUUCAAAUAGCCUCGGAGAUACGGCCCCCUCAGUCUGGAGCCAACCUUGGGCCUGCUCCAGAGAGGGAGCCUUGCCUAUCCCUCCUAAAUUAUCCUUCCCUUGCUCCCAACCCAUCACUGGGGUUUGCAUUACACAGACACCCUAUUUCCUACAGUCUUCUCAAGUGGUUGCUGUGUCCCUCAGGAAGGAGUGUGGCACCAUCUGGUGCUAUCUCUGGUAAGUGCCAUGCCCAAAUCACCCACACAGUUGCAUGGGCUCACUCCCUCCUUUCUUAGGGGACCCUGUUAACUACGGAGCCCCUCCUUUUCCUUCGCUUGCCAUUCUGGGUAACCCCACACCUUGGUUCCCAUACUGUUCCUCCCCACUACCAUGAAAAGAGGCAUGUUCCAGCCUCCUCACCUUGCCUUUCUUCCACUGGAGAAAGGCUGCUAGCUUCUGAGCCAGGCGGCUUCUGGACAGAACCUACCUCAUGCUUCCAGAAUCAGUGGAGGAGAGGGCUGAGGUCAGUUUUGUUUGUUUUUUGCAGUUUCCAGCAGCCAAUGCUUGACCAGUGAUGCUACACUAACAAAAUAGACUCUGAGCACUAGCUUUUCUGUACCGAACCUCUGUAUGCAAACUCCAUGCUCCGGCUCAGCUUCUGGCACCCAACUGCUUAUUGGGGGUGAAGGAAAAUCUCAUGGAGAAGACUUGCAGAGAAGCAAACGGAUUUUGCAGGACUUCAGUACAUGGAGAAGAAGCUUUCCGAUUCCAGUGGAUGUAUUCAAUUCUGGGAGGCCUCCAAGAGCUCCCUGUGUUCUUGAAGGGGGAGAUAGUGUGCAUACAUCUAACCUGAAGAACCAGACAGGCUUCUUUUAAUGUUAAUUCCAGAAGCCCUUCUCAGCUUUUGUGCUACCAUGAGCAUAGGCCCUUCUAAGUUCUUUCUAUCUAGAAAAAUUUAGAGCAGAUCUACUGGAAUUUAUUUUCUCUCACAUACUUUCAUUCCCCCUCCUGAGGUGACAAGUAGCUUUUCCUCACAACUUGUAGCUUAAAACAUUCUGUGUUCUCAGGGAAAUUCAAUUCUUAUUACUACCUCGUGAUUAGGGCUGACAUCCUGGAGCACAGAAACUAAAGCAGGCAUAGUUUCCCUUCUGGGCACUGGAUUUGUCUGGUUCUUAAUUAGUCCCUCACCUGCCCUGCAUAUGAUCAAUCCAUUUUCCUGGCUUCUUUGGAUGAAGCCUGAUGUUUGAAGGACUUGCCAUCAGAACCGGAGUGUCAUUCACUGGAUCCACACCACGUUUCUUGCUUUUUUCCACAACAAGCUUUGUACAGAGCUCCCACAAAUUCUAAACAUACAGAAUGCAGAAAGAAGAGCCAAAUUGUGUGAGCAGAAUAUAUGAGGCAUGUUGAAGAAAAGUAGGCAAACUUUUCAUUUGCAUAGCUUUUCUUCAUGAGGCAAUUCCAUAAUAUGUAACUGGCAAUACUUUGGCAAAGAUGGGUGUGCUAAGUAGUGUGAGAGAAGCACUUGAGCAGAGAAUUUGUGGGAGGGAAAAAAAGACAGUAGCCAUAGCAAGGGUCCUGUUGACUGAGAAAAUGGACCACUUGAAAAGGGAGAAGUGCCAAGUUACUUCUGCUUGACUAUGGAGACUGCAUGACCCUAGGUACUUAAUAUUCUAUAGCCCUGAAACGGAUUCCUGGUGUAUCUCGAGAGUUUUGGAUUUUGCGUUCCAGUCAACAAUAGGCCUCUCUCUAACAUGAGUAUGAGGCUUGAUGGUCCUUUGCUGAUGUUGCAUAUGGACAAUAUUCACAAUUUUGGGGAGGGGCACUUCACAUACCUGAACUGUGUAGCCCCUAAUACUUCAUAUACAGAUUGUUAGCUGCAGAAUAUGGACACGGUUGUGGUGAGACCCGAGUUGAUCUAGUUAAAUUCAUUCUAUUCUGCCUAGCCCCUUAGAUUGUUUGCAAGCCUAUAUUGUGCAGAAAUAAGGGGAAUCUUCACACUGGUCCGUAUUCUGUGGUUUUUGUUCCCACCCUAUCCAUUACUUAACUGAAUUAGGUAAAAUUUUAAUGUACAAUCAGGGAGGCACUACUCUGGUUAGUCAGACCAAAACUGUAUUGCUCCAGGAGUACAAAGACUGCCCAAGUUUCUCAGAUCAACUUUCUGCCAUGAUCAAAGUCAUGGAUGAAAAGGAGGGUUUAUGGAGGACUACUUUAGAAAGAAGUAAAAGAAGGUAGGCCAGUGCCCCCCCCCCCCCCAACCACCUGAAGUGCCUUGUCAACAUGGCUUGUUACCUUACAGGCACUUUCUUUGCAGAUCUUUUGUCUUCAGAAUGGCAAGUGAAGGAGAUAGGUGAUUUCUCAGAAAGUGCUGGGUUCACCAUGUUGCCAUAAAUUACGUAAUGUUAGACUAAAUAGAACAUAGUAGGAAACACCAGAAUGUGGUUUUAAAUAUUUAGAACUGAUGAAAUCUUAGGAAUAACAAACCACCAGUGCAACUUGCUCAAAGUACUGCAAUUGUACAUGCAAACUUCCUUCAGGCAGCCAAGUAAUAUUGCUUGCAGCGAAGAGCAGUGUGGUGGGAGCAGCUGGAGGAGUGGUCAGAAGAAUGGUUUCCUCUGAGCCCAAUUUCCCCUGAGAUUUUUCAGCAGCUCCUAUUGGUUACAUUGUUCAUGUCACAUGACGAAUAUACAGUGGAGCUUCCAUGAAAAACUAAAAAGUUUCCAAAUGCUCAAGAGCCAGUGGAUCAUACUGGUUAAGUGGCAGAUACACUGCAUGUGCAGUCUUUGUUUCUCUCUUAAGAGGCUAAGGAACAGGUUCUGCAAAGCUGUCACAACCUUGGGAGUGAACAGCAGUUACUCCUUCAUAUAGGGGAAGUAAACGGAGUGUACUCGGGAACAUUGCUAGCAUGGGGACAGGCCUCUUGAGAGCUAGCUUGGUGUGGUUUGAUGGCUGGACUUGCAUAGGAAACUGAGCUGGAAUGCCUGCUUGCUGCAAUGAGUGACCAGUCAUACAAUCUCAGCCCACACUUAGAGGACGAAUCGGAUAUAAAUAUUCUAGUUGUGUCAACAAACUGAGGGAGCAGAACAAAAUGGGCAUGCUUGUCUACUAACUCCAAGCAUUUAUAUGCUACUGUUCCUGUGCUCAAAGCACACAAACAAUGGAACAUCAUUCUAAAGUAAAAAUAAAAUAGCUAAUUUUUAAAAUAAACCAAACAAUUAGCCUAUAAGACAACAACUACCAGUCAAAAACAACACAGCCUGCCAUUGAAUUGGCAUUCAGUAGCUAAAUGCUAGCCUUAAGGGCCUUUGUGAAAAGCAGAGAGGGCCACUCUGUGACCGCAACAGGAAGACCGUGCCUCUGGGCAGCUUGAGUAAAGGCAGCUGCUGAUGUUCUGACUUGGCUCUUAAGAAGGCACUCAGGUUGAUGCAGGGAGAGGCAGGCCCCAGAGGCUCUCAGGUACAAAGAAGAUAAGCAGCUUGAACUGGGCCUGGAGCCUAACACAGCUAGUACAGUUGCCUCGACAUUUCACAGUAUUUAUCAGGAUGCCAGCAGAGGCAUUUUGCACCUGCUGCUGCUUUACCUUCAAGGGCAACUCCACCUAAACAGCAAAGAAGCUGAUACUGUAAAUGUGGUGAGGUUAUGUAAUAUACCACAUGUAAAACAUACUCCUGGCUUCUGAGGCUAUGUGCUAGCUACUCGUCCAGAAGCAGGGCUGAACCCAAGCUCUUAACUCAUUCAGAUGGGGAAACUAUCACAGGCAAACUAACUCCCUGGAAAGUCCAGUGAUUCUCUUCCAGUAUUGCCUCCAUCCUGUCUGGAAUCACAUUUACCUUAUUAACCCUUGUCCACUGAAUGUCCAAUCACAGGUUUAAAGCAAAACUGCCAUUCAUGGGUCCUUAGCAAAACAGAGGAUUGAGUGCUGCCUGCAUAUUGACAGCACCAAGCCCUCAACUUCCUGAUAAUACCUCCCAGUGGCUUCAUGGAGAAGUUGAAAUGUGUUGGUAAAAUACUGAUUAUGGAACUGUAAACACCAGUUUCUGCGGGGCCAAGAUAGCAUCACCUUUUGAUCAGCGUUUGCGUGCAGGCAUACAACAUAUGAAACCAUAAAAGAGCCACCCCAUGCACCCUAACUAUUUGUUCAAGCCUCAGGAGAUGACUACAAAACCAGCCCCCCCCAGUUAAUUGUCAUCUUCAAAUGGCAUUCAAUGCUGACAGAAUAACUGUUAGUUUAGAUGUCUUUCAUAUGCAAUUGUGAGCAGUCACCUGUCCAUGUCAGGAUCCCAGUGGACCAGGGGCUUCAUGCGAAUGACCCAGCCAUGUGGGCAGAGCAGAUUGGAUAGGUCUUUCCUCUACAUUUGGCAGGAUCCCACAUGACUGUGCAGUUACAUCAUUCAUAUAGAGCCUUGUGGGGUUGUAUCACAGAGAAGAAGCUCCCAUGUAGAAUUCUGCCAAAAUUCCGUGAAAGCAGAUGGCAGGAAUAUCUCAUCACGUGACAUUAGAUCACAAUCAAACAUCAUUAAAACAUGCUGUUGGUGCUUUCCCAUUACAAAUGAAGGCACUGGGUUGCAAGCAUGGGCUUUCACCCAGUUCCCAAUUCUACUCCUCCAGCCCAGCAGGACCCUCCGCAGAAGCAUGAUUCAAGAAUUUCCAACCUCUCUCUAAACUUAUUUGAUCUUUGUAUGUACUCAAAUGCACAACUGAAAACAUUCUCACUGAUGCCUGCCCAGUUCCUAUGGAUGGCUGCAUUCAUUCCUGUGCAAAAUCCAGGUUUUUCUAUGCUUUCCAAAAAUGCUUUGAACAGAAGAGGAUUUUAAAGCAUGGUUACCAUUUAUUUUAGGAAGGCUCUAAGAUAGCCAUAGAUCAUGGUAAUGCACACAAUUGGAUUUUUUGAAUCACAAACAUGAAAUAAGUCAAAAUAAGGAAUGGAGUGAUUCCCUCCCCCCAAGGGCAUGCAUAUUGUAAAGAAAAAGGUGGUGGACUUCCACAAAGAGGCAACUGUGCACUCUAGAACUGGCAAUAAUCGCCAGUUUAAAAGCCAACCUGUCCUGGCCUAGCCACACAAGUGUUUUUUAAAACUGAGCCCUAAAGAAAUGACUAUUACUUUACUCUUUAUUUCCAUGAAAUCUUGCCAGUCAGGAUGCAAUCUUAAGCACCUUUACUCAGGAGAAGUCCCAUCCAAUUCAGGGACUUGCAUUCAAGUAAACGUCUAGGAUCAGGCUGCAGAAUUUCUAACAGCUCAACCGUCAGUCAUACUCAGAUCUGAUGUUGACAUUAGUUUGUCACAGAUCCUUUCUCCUAUUAUUCCUUUAUCUGUACUCAGUUAUAUUGAGAAAUGAAGAAGAAGCCAUAAAUCUCUGAUGUGGGCUGUUUUGUUUGUUUUUUUUGGUUUUGUUUUGUUUGGCCCAGGACAGUUACGCCCUGCACUGAAUACGUUACUGGGUUACAGGCUGUCGGGGUCUAAGGAGAAAGAUGUCAUCUACAGAUUUUUUUUCUUUCCAGAUAGUUUUGCUUGCCAUCAGUCUACACCUGUGGCGAUAGUUUUUAAAAGUACAAGGGGAACAAUUACAAUUCAAAUCCUGAAAAUAGCAACCAUGUGGUUUUAGAUAAUACCAUUCUGGUCACUGUGUCUCAAAAAGAUAUAAAAAUGGGAAAAGUAUAGAAAGGAGAAACAAAAAUUAUCUUGGAAUUGGAGCACCUGCACUAUGAGUUGAGGCUAAAGCAUCUGGUGCUUUUUAGUUUAGAAAAAAAGGCGACUGAUGUGUGAAAUGAGAAAAUGGAUAAAGAAACUUGCCUCCUCCCAUAAUACUAGGAUUUGGGGUCACUCAAUGAAACAGAUUGAUCAUAGAUUCAAAACAGACAAAAGGAAGCUCUAUACAUGACGAAGUUGACGUGUGGUGUUCUCUGACAUGAGAUGAGAUUAUGGCCACCGACUUAGAUGGAUUUACAAGGGGGUUGGACAGAUUAAUGAAGAAUAGGUUGAUCACUGGCUUUUAGCCACCAGGGCCAAACAGGGCCUGUAAUUGUCAGGUGCUGUGGAGUAGUCAGUAGGUGAUGGUUCCUGUCUGUGCACCCCACUUGAGGACUUCUCUGGUAUUUUACUGGCCACUGUUAGAAACAGAAUGCUGGAUGAGAUGGACUACUAGUCAGAUCCAGCAUGGCUACUCUUAUGUUCUUAGAUAUAAAAACUAUAAUUACAUAGGACCAUUGGCGUAAAAUACUAAAUACAGGGGUGGGGGCCUGCGAUAUUCCCAGGGGAGGAUUCCAGGGAGCCAUGAGCGAUGGUGGGUGCAGGGGGAGUGGGGGGGGGAACUCACAGGGAGGUACUUUCCAUUCCCCCUGCAUUUGUUACCCCCUCCCUCCAAACAUCCUUACCUGUUUGUUUCCCCCUCCUAAUCACCCUUUCCUCUUCACCCCCCCCCUUUAACUGCUGCCUCCCAGGUGGAUCUUGGGAGACUUGGAGCAGUAGCACGCAGGUCCAGAAUGGCUCACAGGCAUAGCAGUCAGAAGUGGGGCAACUUUUAGCUGCAUUGCCCAAGCCAGGGAGAGAUGAAGCCUGCUUGCAGCCCCCAAAAUCUAGUCAUCACUGGCUUUUAAAGGUGCUGGCAUGUGGUAUGGACCCCACUCCACCACCAGCAGCGGCACACUAAACACGGGUGAGCCUUUUGGAGCAAGUGUUGCCAGGUUCCCACUGUAGCAGGGUGAUCUCACAGCAAUUAAAGCCUCUGCCUGCAGAGCAAUGGUAAAAAGCAGGAGGAGGCAGGCUGCCUAGAGAUUGCCCACUAUCUGUGGAGGCUGAGAGGCAGGCUGGGGAUAUGAGUGCAAACUAUGAAUGUGUCCACGGUGCCUACUGAUGACAUGUUGUACUGCUGGGGGGGGCAAUGAUUGGGCCCUGGGGGGAGGUUUGUCCACUGCUGGAGACAGAGGCUAUUGUUUGUGGCUAUAGUUGGCAUCCAGCACUCUGCCAAGGUUUUUGAGUGGGCUGUGUUGGGGGAGGGGGAUACUUGGCCUUUUCUGUUGCAUGUGCGCAUAUGAGCUACAGUUUCCUUUGUUGGAAGAAGUUUCUGCCAGUGUAGGGGGGCAUUCCCACGCUGGAGUGGCUUAGGGAGCCGACUAACUCCAACCAUGCUCCUGGGUCUGGCCCUUCCUUUGCAGGGGCCUAAGCUGGUGAGUUGCUGGUGGGUGGCCAUGGCAGUUGUGCAGUGACAAGUAGUCCCUGUGCACUCCCUCCCCGUAGGAUUAUGCUGAAAGUCUCUCUCUUCAAAGUCCUUUAUUUCAUAUCUAGUCUAUUAAUUUGCAUCCUACAGAGGUCUCCAAUUUCAUUCUUCCUGCCUCAAGCAGAUUCCAUUAGCUUCUUUCAAUGUUGGCAACUAUUGUUAAUCUUAAUUCAAAUAAAGUCUCUUGAUUUUUA